AUGAAGACAUUUCUGGCCAUGCUUAUGGUUCUGAUUGUCUCAGGUGAUGAUAAGGUGGUCAUCAAUGGCAGCAUAGAAGACAGGGUCAUACUGCCGUGCCCGUGCCCAAACAGAAAUUUGGCCGAGGUGCUCGCGUGGCAAAUGGAGGAGCCAAACAAAGAGAAAGUGUUAGUGCACCACGGGAACCAUUCAAACUACAGUGACAAAUACAAGAACAGAGCCCAACUCUUCCAGAAUGGGGACAAGUACAACUGCUCUCUUCUCCUGACCAACAUCACAGCUGAUGACCAAGGGAAAUACAGAUGCAGUUUUACACAUGAAAACAUGUACAAUGCUUUAUUUGUACAUCUAAAUGUCUCUGCAAACUUCAACCUUUGUCAGAAAACCACAAACCAAGUUAAUGACAGUUUAAAUAGGACGGAAUGUGAAGUGGAGGGACGCUACAGAGACACAGAGAUUCUGUGGUAUCUGGAUCAACAGCUUCUUACAAAUUCAACUACAACUAAAAUAAUCCACAACUAUACUUCAAAGGCUGCUGGAAGCCACACCUUCACAAGCGAAAUCAUUACUGAGCUGACUGGGAAACCAAUUUGCAAGGUCAAGGCCAAAGGCGUACCAGCAGUCAUUUCUGAGCUCUGCCCACCUGAACCUUGGGUACGCCAACCAGACAAUGAAAUGUCAUGUUACAGGGCAUACUUCAAACUCAUCCCCAUUGCGUUGGUGAUUGGCGUUUCCUUGGUUCUGCUGUAUCGAUGGAAACAUUCCCAAGGUUUGCGGAGACACAGACAAGUGAAGACUAAUCCCUUCUUGCCCUGA
rnacentral:lncRNA from 1 species